UCUCAGGGUUAGACACAUUAGAGAUUGGGUC
rnacentral:piRNA from 1 species